AGUAGCCAUAUGCCCUAGAAGGGGCAGCUCAGCAAGAGGUGCAGGAUUCAUGGGUGAGGGAGCUGGGAAGGAGUUUGAUAACUGAAGAUCCUAAUGCUAAGCACGAAGAAUGAGAGAAACUGUGAACAAAACUCUUCAUUUCCAGAACCUUUUAAUAUGCAACUUCUUAAAAGGCAACCUCAUACUCCAGGAGAAAUAAGGGUCUGUUCAUAUGUAUUACCUUCCACUGCUGAUUAGCAAAAGGCAAAAGCAAUCCAUUAAUGAAAAAAAAAAUCACAAUCAAUGCACUUCUGCUGCCUCAAUACCAAAGAGUGCAAUCCUGCUAUCACUGAAGUAAAGGAUAGAACUCCCAUUGAUGUCACUGAAGGAGGAUUAGUGUUAGGCAUUAAAUAGAUAAGCACAAAGGAGAACCGAGAGGCUUGCAGGUUGCAAUCUGUAAACUGUUGUCUCCAUAAGAAUGUUUCCAAUCACUUCAGUAUGGCAUACAAAUAAUGUCUAGUUUAGUAGGGAAAUAAUCCUAAACAUUUAGGAAUCCUAUUGAACUGAUUAGCUUCAUUUGUAUCUUCUGUCCAAGAAAUUGUAAAGUGAAAGAUAAAGCAUUAUCAUUUACAUAUAUGAAAUUUGGUUCACAUUCCCCAUGGUAUGCUUACAAAAGAGGUUUCCAAAAAGGAACCAACUCUGUAAAACAAAAAAUCGGAAGCAGCCUUAACUAUUGUCUCACUACUGUGAGCCCAGAACAAUAUUUUACUGCUUUAGAGACAUCCUAGCUGGGUUUGUGUGGAUAUGUUGGAGGGCAAGGAGAGAUGAGAGCACAAGGAGCUCCUUCUCCCUCUGUGUACCUGUGUGGGAGGCAGCCAUAAUUUAUCACCGACUGCUGGAGAGUGCAAGGAGGGCCUUUUCGCACAGAUGGCAGGGUAAUGUUCCCUGUCCUCAGCACUGGCCAGUGGCUACAACUUUCUAACACAUACAGCAUGACCUCACGUCUCUGUACAGGCCUGAUCCAAUGCCCGCCGAGGUCCCCUGAAGGGGUUCCCUUAACAUCAGUGGAUUUUGGAUUAGCCCCACAUUGUCUCUGCAUCAUGACUUCGAAUCACAUAUCCUUUGCUGUGGUGGACAAUGCGCUCCUGCUCCCUCAAUGCUUACAGGAAUAAGGCUAUGCUAAGAAAUGACUUUCAUUUCCGUACCUCUCUGAUAGCUGUACAAAACUCACUCUGCAGUACUUUCUUUAGGGACUGUAGCUUGUGUACUGGUACUUCUCCAGACUCCUGUAGUUUCUCCAGUAAUUCAAUUGCUCUUGCAACAUCUGAAUGGGUAAAAAUAAGAAUAAAGUUCAGAAAAGCAGAGAUUUGACAUGUAAGAAUGAUUAAUGUUACAAAUAAGUGGUACAGUGGUGAUGAGCAAUAUUUUCAAUGCACAAUCAGCUUUAUCAAUGCUUAAUUUAUUUGGUUUUGGGUUUAUAACUCUUUAACAGACAAGAAAAAGUUCAUUUCUGCAGGUAAACCCCUUGAAAUAUAUACAUUACCUUAAACUA